AGGCCGCGCGCGGAGCUCCAUAGGUAUAGAAAUAUGGUAAGCUAUGCGACUUGAAUGCUGUUUCAUUCAUUAUUUGUUUCUUUGCAAGGGCAAAGCUGGUCAGAAUGUAGCGUUGAUACAAGUUCUAUA